GUCUUGUAACACGGACCAAGGAGUCUAACAUACCUGCGAGUGUUUGGGUGGAAAACCCGAGCGCGUAAUGAAAGUGAAAGUUGAGAUCCCUGUCGUGGGGAGCAUCGACGCCCGGACCUGACGUUCUCUGACGGAUCCGCGGUAGAGCAAGUAUGUUGGGACCCGAAAGAUGGUGAACUAUGCCUGAAUAGGGUGAAGCCAGAGGAAA
rnacentral:rRNA from 1 species